rnacentral:rRNA from 1 species
UCAGGAUGAACGCUGGCGGCGUAGCUUAACACAUGCAAGUCGAACGAAGCAACUAUCUUGCUGCAAGAAGUUGACUUAGUGGCGGACGGGUGAGUAACGCGUGGGUAACCUGCCUCAUACAGGGGGAUAACAGUUGGAAACGACUGCUAAGACCGCAUAACCCGCUAGUGUCGCAUGACACGGACGGAAAAUAUUUAUAGGUAUGAGAUGGGCCCGCGUCUGAUUAGCUAGUUGGUAAGGUAACGGCUUACCAAGGCGACGAUCAGUAGCCGACUUGAGAGAGUGAUCGGCCACAUUGGGACUGAGACACGGCCCAAACUCCUACGGGAGGCAGCAGUGGGGAAUAUUGGACAAUGGGGGAAACCCUGAUCCAGCGAACCGCCGCGUGAGUGAAGAAGUAUUUCGGUAUGUAAAGCUCUAUCAGCAGGGAAGAUAAUGACAGUACCUGACUAAGAAGCCCCGGCUAACUACGUGCCAGCAGCGGC